rnacentral:rRNA from 1 species
AUUGAACGCUGGCGGCAGGCUUAACACAUGCAAGUCGAGCGGAGAUGAGGUGCUUGCACCUUAUCUUAGCGGCGGACGGGUGAGUAAUGCUUUGGAAUCUGCCUAUUAGUGGGGGACAACAUUCCGAAAGGAAUGCUAAUACCGCAUACGCCCUACGGGAGAAAGCAGGGGAUCUUCGGACCUUGCGCUAAUAGAUGAGCCUAAGUCGGAUUAGCUAGUUGGUGGGGUAAAGGCCUACCAAGGCGACGAUCUGUAGCGGGUCUGAGAGGAUGAUCCGCCAAACUGGGACUGAGACAAGGCCCAGACUCCUACGGGAGGCAGCAGUGGGGAAUAUUGGACAAUGGGGGGAACCCUGAUCCAGUCAUGCCGCGUGUGUGAAGAAGGCCUUAUGGUUGUAAAGCACUUUAAGCGAGGAGGAGGCUACUGAGACUAAUACUCUUGGAUAGUGGACGUUACUCGCAGAAUAAGCACCGGCUAACUCUGUGCCAGCAGCCGCCGUAAUAC